ACGAACGAGAAUCUGCGGAAAGAGGAUUCGUCCAAUUGAAGCAGAGGACAGUGGCGGACGGGUGAGUAACGCGUGAGGAACCUGCCUUUCAGAGGGGGACAACAGUUGGAAACGACUGCUAAUACCGCAUGACACAUUGGGGUCGCAUGGCCUUAAUGUCAAAGAUUUAUCGCUGAAAGAUGGCCUCGCGUCUGAUUAGCUAGUUGGUGAGGUAACGGCCCACCAAGGCGACGAUCAGUAGCCGGACUGAGAGGUUGAACGGCCACAUUGGGACUGAGAUACGGCCCAGACUCCUACGGGAGGCAGCAGUGGGGAAUAUUGGGCAAUGGGCGCAAGCCUGACCCAGCAACGCCGCGUGAAGGAAGAAGGCUUUCGGGUUGUAAACUUCUUUUGUCAGGGACGAGUAGAAGACGGUACCUGACGAAUAAGCCACGGCUAACUACGUGCCAGCAGCCGCGGUAAUACGUAGGUGGCAAGCGUUGUCCGGAUUUACUGGGUGUAAAGGGCGUGUAGCCGGGAGGGCAAGUCAGAUGUGAAACCCACGGGCUUAACUCGUGAACUGCAUUUGAAACUGUUCUUCUUGAGUAUCGGAGAGGCAAUCGGAAUUCCUAGUGUAGCGGUGAAAUGCGUAGAUAUUAGGAGGAACACCAGUGGCGAAGGCGGAUUGCUGGACGACAACUGACGGUGAGGCGCGAAAGCGUGGGGAGCAAACAAGAUUAGAUACCCUGGUAGUCCACGCU
rnacentral:rRNA from 1 species